rnacentral:misc_RNA from 1 species
AAGUCGUAACAAGGUUUCCGUAGGUGAACCUGCGGAAGGAUCAUUAACGAAUUACCAUUCGGUCUUCUGUGCUGGUGGCAACACAUGUGCACGUCGAUCGUAAUUCCAUUCUCCUUUCAAUCGUCCAAGUGUGUUUGGUCGGCCCUCUGCGGUCGAAGAAUCCUGUCGCCGUCAGGCUCUCGAUUCGUUCCGAAUGCACCUUGGUUUUUCACCCACUCUGGGUACUAGAAACAAAGAAAAAAACCGUAUAUAAACUAUACAACUUUCAACAACGGAUCUCUUGGCUCUC